rnacentral:lncRNA from 1 species
AUGGAGUUAUUUUGAACUCGAGUGUGAAACAAAUCCACAACGUGGUUGAUUUUGAUAGAUGGGAAGCAUGAUGGCUCCCGAUGUAUAUUUAUAUAUUACUAAAAUUGUUUUGUUGUGGAUUGUCUUUGAAAUAAUCUGAGCUAAGUCUGGGAGAAAUGUUUAGCACCGAGUGGGAUGUAUAAAGCGACCUUACUUCCCUAGAACUACGUGCCCCCGCAAGAGUGAGCCUGAGGCUGAUUUAUAUAGUGAUCACUAGUUUGUGUGGAUUUG